CUAGCGCAAACAGCAAGCAAGCAAUUAGGGAACUCCGAGGAGCACAGUUGCUGUUAGCACCAGGACAACAGUAGUGAAUUAAGAAAGAUCAAUGCUAGGUGCAAGCAGGAGGCAAACACAUAUCAAAGAACAAAGACAAGGCAAGAUGCAGGUGACUGUUUGAGCACCAUCACAUAUAUAGGAAGAGGGAGAAAGAUGGUGAAAGUACUGAUGGCAAGGCACUUAUAGGCAGGCAAGAAACUAGUGGCUGGCCAGAGAAA
rnacentral:lncRNA from 1 species